CUUUGGUAAUCUUAUAAAAGAAAAUUUCAGGUUUCUUCUAUUAAAUGCAUAAAGGAAGACAAUUUAUAUAUAUAUUGUACCUUGCAUUCGGUACAGGAGAGAAACCAUUAGUUAGAAAUGUUAAGAAUUCUAAUAUAGUAUGAAAUACAUUCACUGUGAAACUCACACAUUAAUAUAAGCUACAUGUACAUGUAUCGCACAGACACAUACAUGCAUGGUGGAUUCCCCCUUUUAUUUUGUCUUUUAUCUCUCAUCUUUUUUACUGUUAUCCAUCAUUCUCUAUCUUUGUAUUUUAGCAAGUCUUAAGUCUCUAGUCUAAUCCUUGUUUUUUUUUUGUGUGUUUUUUUUCUUCCUUAAUCUGUAUUCUUUAAAAACCCACUCCACAACCUCAUUUGCGGCAUGGUAUUGAACACAAAUGCUUGAUAUUUCGCCAUACAGUUAUAGAUGUUGAAUUCUAUGAUAUUCAUGGUAAUUGUCUGGAUAAUUUUAAUUUGUAAAUGAAACGUGAAGCAUUGUCACAAAUGUAAAAAUAAGUAGAUGUG
rnacentral:lncRNA from 1 species